UACGGAGGGUGCAAGCGUUAUCCGGAUUCAUUGGGUUUAAAGGGUGCGCAGGUGGGAAUGUAAGUCAGUGGUGAAAUACUGCCGCUUAACGGUAGAAUUGCCAUUGAUACUGCGUUUCUUGAGUAUGGUUGAGGUAGGUGGAAUGUGUUGUGUAGCGGUGAAAUGCAUAGAUAUGACACAGAACGCCGAUUGCGAAGGCAACUUACUAAGCCAUUACUGACGCUGAGGCACGAAAGCGUGGGGAGCGAACAGGAUUAGAUACCCUGGUAGUCCACGCCGUAAACGAUGUUCACUCGCUGUUUGCGAUACACAGUAAGCGGCUAAGCGAAAGCAUUAAGUGAACCACCUGGGGAGUACGAUCGCAAGGUUGAA
rnacentral:rRNA from 1 species